AAGUCGUAACAAGGUUUCCGUAGGUGAACCUGCGGAAGGAUCAUUAACACGAAUUUUAUCCAAUAACAAAACCAAAACGUGAACUUUUCCCCUCCCUAAUUCAAAAUUGUUAGAAAUAAUAUUUUUGUUUUAGGCUUAUUAUUAUAAGUUUCAAACCCCUCAAAACUUUAACUUAAGUUGUUGCUUUCUCUUUAUUGAGACUCAACUUACUAAACUAAAAAAUUAUUCUUUCAUUGAUUUGAAGAAUAUUUUUUUCGAUUACGAAAAAAACCAAAGAACAACUCUUAACAAUGGAUAUCUUGGUUCUC
rnacentral:misc_RNA from 1 species